rnacentral:misc_RNA from 1 species
GAUGAAGAACGUAGCGAAAUGCGAUAAGUAAUGUGAAUUGCAGAAUUCAGUGAAUCAUCGAGUCUUUGAACGCACAUUGCGCCCCCUGGUAUUCCGGGGGGCAUGCCUGUCCGAGCGUCAUUGCUGCCCUCAAGCCCGGCUUGUGUGUUGGGUCGCCGUCCCCCUCUCCGGGGGGACGGGCCCGAAAGGCAGCGGCGGCACCGCGUCCGAUCCUCGAGCGUAUGGGGCUUUGUCACAUGCUCUGUAGGAUUGGCCGGCGCCUGCCGACGUUUUCCAACCAUUCUUUCCAGGUUGACCUCGGAUCAGGUAGGGAUACCCGCUGAACUUAAGCAUAUCAAUAAGCGGAGGA